UACGUAGGGGCCGAGCGUUGUCCGGAGUUACUGGGCGUAAAGCGCACGUAGGCGGAUCGUUAAGUCGGGGGUGAAAUCCUGGAGCUCAACUCCAGAACUGCCUUCGAUACUGGCGAUCUAGAGUCCGGAAGAGGUGAGUGGAACUCCUAGUGUAGAGGUGGAAUUCGUAGAUAUUAGGAAGAACACCAGUGGCGAAGGCGGCUCACUGGUCCGGUACUGACGCUGAGGUGCGAAAGCGUGGGGAGCAAACAGG
rnacentral:rRNA from 1 species